rnacentral:rRNA from 1 species
CCUACGGGAGGCAGCAGUGAGGAAUAUUGGUCAAUGGACGCACGUCUGAACCAGCCAUGCCGCGUGCAGGAAGACGGCUCUAUGAGUUGUAAACUGCUUUUGUACGAGGGUAAACGCAGAUACGCGUAUCUGUCUGAAAGUAUCGUACGAAUAAGGAUCGGCUAACUCCGUGCCAGCAGCCGCGGUAAUACGGAGGAUUCAAGCGUUAUCCGGAUUUAUUGGGUUUAAAGGGUGCGUAGGCGGUCGGAUAAGUUAGAGGUGAAAUCCCGAGGCUCAACUUCGGAAUUGCCUCUGAUACGGUGCGGCUAGAGAGUAGUUGCGGUAGGCGGAAUGUAUGGUGUAGCGGUGAAAUGCUUAGAGAUCAUACAGAACACCGAUGGCGAAGGCAGCUUACCAAGCUACUUCUGACGUUGAGGCACGAAAGCGUGGGGAGCAAACAGGAUUAGAUACCCUAGUAGUC